UACGGAGAUCCGAGCGUUAUCCGGAUUUAUUGGGUUUAAAGGGUGCGUAGGCGGCUUUUUAAGUCAGCGGUGAAAUUUUGCAGCUUAACUGUAACAGUGCCGUUGAUACUGGGGAGCUAGGAUUUGGUUGCUGUGGGUGGAAUGUGUGGUGUAGCGGUGAAAUGCUUAGAGAUCACACAGAAUAUCGAUUGCGAAGGCAGCUCACAAAGCCUAAGAUUGACGCUGAGGCACGAAAGUGUGGGAUCAAACAGGAUUAGA
rnacentral:rRNA from 1 species